rnacentral:rRNA from 1 species
UACGUAGGGUGCAAGCGUUAAUCGGAAUUACUGGGCGUAAAGCGUGCGCAGGCGGCUUUGCAAGACAGAUGUGAAAUCCCCGGGCUUUAACCUGGGAACUGCAUUUGUGACUGCAUGGCUGGAGUGCGGCAGAGGGGGAUGGAAUUCCGCGUGUAGCAGUGAAAUGCGUAGAUAUGCGGAGGAACACCGAUGGCGAAGGCAAUCCCCUGGGCCUGCACUGACGCUCAUGCACGAAAGCGUGGGGAGCAAACAGG